ensembl:lncRNA
AGCUCUCUGGGCAGCACUGCCAGGGCCUCACGAUGCUGGGGUGUAUCUCUGAGGGAGGAAUAAAAGGACCCUGGAAGUUGUGCCUCCAAGACCUCAACUCACAACUCUUGCCACAGGUCUUCAGGAGAUGUAUAUAUAAAGAGACAUCAUGUUCUCCUCUCAACUGUUAUCUGACUAGACAGAAUGAUCUCCUUUAACCCUCUUCUGUCCAAACCAUCACUGAGAAUUAGUGCUGAAUUUAGGCUUUUAAAAAUAAUUUUUUUGGUACAUUUUAUUCUGUUCGUAUUCUUUUUUUGUUCAUUUUAUUCUUAUUUUUGAAUUCUUAUCCCAGCUAUUUCCCAUUUCUCUACUUCUUGUUCGGUUUGUUUGUUGCUUCCUUUUGUUUUUCCGCACGUCUCAAACCUCUCAUUGCUGAUUUAUAUCUGUUUAAAUAAGUGUGGUUUUGCAUUUCACCCUUUUUCCUUGAUGCCAUAUUUUGUUAAACAUUGGAACAUAUACCAAAGGUGCUUUGUUGUGACUGUGACAGAGAAAUUCAUCAUAGUAGAAAAUGCAGUGCUGGUUAGGUGAAGACCCAGGGUGACUGCAAGCACAAUGAAAAAUAAUGCUGCAGUUAUUUGGAUUUGUGGAUAUAACCAAAUUAAAAGCGUAUUCCAGGUCAAUUGUCUAAAUAAAUGACCAGAAUGAAAUAACAUCCCAACUAAACAGAGUAGGACAUGUACAAAAGUGCCGCAUUCGUGCUAGUGAGGACAUUAUUCACAAGAAGUUCUAGAUCUCUAACUGCUAGGGGAAGAUUUUCAGAGAGAUCAAUAUAUAAUCUCUUUUAAUUUAUCUAUUAAUUUGUAAUUAAUAACGUGUAUACACGUAUAUGUUUAUGUGUAUUGUGUCUACAUCACUGUUCAGGCCCAUUGGCAAUAAAUUCUCCAUGAAUGUAAACCCAACAGCCAGUAAUUCUGAUCAACUGCAAUACAUAAGAAAAAAAGUGUGAAUAAUUUAUAUAGAGUAAAUAACAGCAUAAAUCCAGGUAUUGAGGAAAUUACAACGGACUGUUACAGAUAAAACAUCCUCUGCACCGUGGUAACAAUCAGCAAAUCUCAGUGAGCUGUAAUAAAUACAUAUGGACAGCACAGCCCAGUAUAAUGAAAAGGGGAAGAUGAACCAAGAUGGAAAAACUCCUUGGUAGAGGUUGCAACAUCUUUCUUCAGUGUUUAUCAGGAAGGGGGGGGGGAAUACUAAUCCAUAAAUAAUUUCUUUCACUGGAAAGAUACAAAAUUUAUUCAUUUGUUUUGUUGAUAUAUGGAAAGGGAGUGCAUUUGCACUUUUUUUUUUUCAAUAAACAAAAGUUUU